rnacentral:rRNA from 1 species
CCUACGGGAGGCAGCAGUGAGGAAUAUUGGUCAAUGGGCGCAAGCCUGACCCAGCCAAGUCGCGUGAGGGAGUACUGCUCUAUGGGUUGUAAACCUCUUUUGUCGGGGAGCAAAAGCCGGACGUGUCCGGCUGUGAGAGUACCCGAAGAAAAAGCAUCGGCUAACUCCGUUCCAGCAGCCGCGGUAAUACGGGGGAUGCGAGGGUUAUCGGGAUUUAUUGGGGUUAAAGGGUGCGCAGGCGGAUUUUUAAGUCAGCGGUCAAAUCGUGGGGCUAAACCCCAUCCAGCCGUUGAAACUGGGGAUCUAGAGUGUGCGAGAGGUAUGCGGAAUGCGUGGUGUAGCGGUGAAAUGCAUAGAUAUCACGCAGAACCCCGAUUGCGAAGGCAGCAUACUGGUGAACAACUGACGCUGAGGCACGAAAGCGUGGGUAUCGAACAGGAUUAGAUACCCUUGUAGUC